rnacentral:rRNA from 1 species
AACGUAGGGGACAAGCGUUAUCCGGAUUCACUGGGUUUAAAGGGUGCGUAGGCGGGUAAGUAAGUCCGUGGUGAAAUCUCUGAGCUUAACUCAGAAACUGCCGUGGAUACUAUUUGCCUUGAAUAUUGUGGAGGUGAGCGGAAUAUGUCAUGUAGCGGUGAAAUGCUUAGAUAUGACAUAGAACACCAAUUGCGAAGGCAGCUCACUACACAAUCAUUGACGCUGAGGCACGAAAGCGUGGGGAUCAAACAGG